rnacentral:rRNA from 1 species
CUUAAGCAUAUCAAUAAGCGGAGGAAAAGAAACCAACAGGGAUUGCCCUAGUAACGGCGAGUGAAGCGGCAACAGCUCAAAUUUGAAAUCUGGCUUCGGCCCGAGUUGUAAUUUGCAGAGGAUGUUUCUGGCGCGGUGCCUUCCGAGUUCCCUGGAACGGGACGCCAUAGAGGGUGAGAGCCCCGUAUGGUUGGAUACCAAGCCUGUGUGAAACUCCUUCGACGAGUCGAGUAGUUUGGGAAUGCUGCUCAAAAUGGGAGGUAAAUCUCUUCUAAAGCUAAAUACCGGCCAGAGACCGAUAGCGCACAAGUAGAGUGAUCGAAAGAUGAAAAGCACCUUGAAAAGGGGGUUAAACAGUACGUGAAAUUGUUGAAAGGGAAGCGCUCAUGACCAGACUUGUGCUGGGCAGCUCAUCCGGGGUUCUCCCCGGUGCACUCUGCCCAGUUCAGGCCAGCAUCGAUUUUUGCCGGGGGAUAAGAACGGUAGGAACGUGGCCCUCCUUCGGGUGGGUGUUAUAGCCUACCGUACGAUACCCUGGCGGAGAUCGAGGUUCGCGCAUCUGCAAGGAUGCUGGCGUAAUGGUCAUCAGCGACCCGUCUUGAAACACGGACCAAGGAGUCGUCCAUUAGAGCGAGCGUUUGGGUGUAAAACCCGCACGCGUAAUGAAAGUGAAAUUAGGUGAGAGCUUCGGCGCAUCAUCGACCGAUCCUGAUGUUCUCGGAUGGAUUUGAGUAAGAGUUUUAACGGACGGACCCGAAAGACAGUGAACUAUGCUUGUAUAGGGUGAAGCCAGAGGAAACUCUGGUGGAGGCUCGCAGCGGUUCUGACGUGCAAAUCGAUCGUCAAAUAUGAGCAUGGGGGCGAAAGACUAAUCGAACUGUCUAGUAGCUGGUUACCGCCGAA